UCCCUGGUGGUCUAGUGGUUAGGACUUUGCAAUUCCACUGCUAGGGGCUAGGGUUCCACUCCUGGUCAGGAAA
rnacentral:tRNA from 1 species